ensembl:lncRNA
GGCAAUUUCCUGGUCACUUGGCCAUUACAUCAGGGUCGAAUGUUAGACAAGGCAUCUGUGGUGCUUUCCUAGAUAGAUGAUAUUCUGUUGAAGUCCGAUAUUCUCAAAGGCGCUAGUUACAGAGGGAUUCUCUGAAAAUGUCUGCGGUGGUGUUCAACGGUUGUGGAAUUUGCUGCUGACAGAGUAGUGUUCAUGUGAUCUUUGUUUCAAGCUGUGGGUGGCCUCUGAGGCCAUCAUACACUGCCCAUUUGGAGCAACAAUGUUUGAGGGAGAAAUUGCAUUUUUAAUGCGUUUAGUUUGGCUGAAGGGUGGGAACAUCAAAUAGCAGGAAAUUCCGUAUGAGGUCAGUGUAUUUGUUCAUAUCUGCAGAAACUGGAAGCAUUCAUAGCAAGUUCUUUGUCCUCAGCAGCUGAAAACAUGUUCUAUUCAAAUGUGCUUUAGAUGAACUGUAUUGAGUAGGCUGUCAGGCAGUAAUAUUGUCUCUAGCAGUGAGCAUAAGUAUUAAGCAUAAAAUAYGAAUCAGAUGAAGAACUCUGCUUUACAUCCCAUGUCCGGAUUUGUUCUUUUUACUGAAGCAGAAUAUUUGCACCAAUCCAUUAAAGCAUGGGUGAACCGUUCUCGUGCCAGUUCCGAUGGCUGUGUAUGUUUCUGCUCACUGAUAGUUACUCUUCAUUUUUGUUGUUUUACAUAGAGAAUGGAGUUGCUCUUCAUUUUCCUAGUGCAAAAGGGAAAAGUUUUAUUAAAAACCUGUUUCAGAUACUGAAAGACUGCGAAAGGUGGUCGAAGGUUACCGGAAGACUCGUGGCGAGGAAGUGCUGUACAGCAGUUCUUUAUUGUUGCGCAGCUGCUGCAAAGUUGCGGCUUCUUUUUAAGUAUCACUUUCAACCGGAACUAAAGCAGAGCAGCGUUAGCCAUCCCCGCAGUAGUCAAUGGCAGGCAGAGGCCAAAGUAUAGAGCUUAUACGAGUCUGUUAUCAGAGUGAUGUUCAAUGACUGCUCUGACUCAGGUCUUGCUGACGGAGGAAAAGGAAUUUGCACCAGACACAGAGCCCACAAAAUGCUGUACCUUCAAAACGGGAAGCAGGUGCCUCCAAGGCGCUUUUGGGUUCUGGGGCUCCCUUCUCAUCCUGAAGGGAAGAGACAUGUUCCAGAGCUGGCACCUAAGAAGGAAAGCGCAGACGAUUUGCUUUCCGAGCCUCGUGCCUCAACGCUGGAGCUGCGAGGUGGCCUCUGCUCCCUGGCGCUGCUGCUCCCAGCAUCCCCGCGCUGAGGAUGGUGCAGAUCUCCAGGAGGAGACUGCAGAAGCGGCAGGACCUUGGAGCCGUGCGGAGGGAUGCGGGAGGAGAGCGACGGGCGCGUGGCUCGCGGGUCUGGUGCUGCCGACGUCUGCAACGGGGCACGCUGGGCUGGUGGCGGGACUCUGCUGAGAUAAGGAAGCAGCGGUUCUCGUCUCCCUGGCUCCAGUUUCAGAAUGCGUCGCUUGCACUUUAUUAAAUAUGAAGAACUCCCGCCGAAGCCAGCAGGAAUUGCGUGGAUGGCCCAGCACGUUACCUGUUCUCUCCUAGUCUUUGGUAAGAUGCCAAACCUAUAUCCUUGCAGCUUGUGCUGAUGUUCCCCAUUAAAGAAUGAUAUCAGCAAGAUCUCUACCUUUUUAGUUAUUAAAUCAAAGCUAUGCUGAAAAUAACUACCCG